GGGGUGUUAUGUUUGCGAUCUCUGCCUUGGUACCUAAGGAGGAAGAGGAGGAGGAGGAGGGUGUGUUACUGAAUGGUGGCUAAAGCCUCCUCGGGACGGCGCUGAGGUGAAACAGGCUGAACCCGACUGAUGUGGCUCCUCUCUCGGUUGGACCCAGUGCCCUAAGCAGCCGAUGAGAGACCCCCGGCCGCCCGGCUCGCAGUAGUCUGAUAAUUAUGUAAGAACAUGAUGAAACUUGAGAGGAAGUAGAACCAUGUGAAGCAGAAGGAAGUGUCCUCACUGGUAAAGAUGAGGUAUCUUUUUAAUGCUGAAAUGGACACAGUAAUUGUGAACCAUGUGGUAAGGAGCUCUUUCUAAAAUAUGCAGUAACGUAUUCACUGGAAUUUAACAGCCUGUGUACUUCAAAGCUUCUCUUACCUGUAAUCAUGUGAACAAACCUUCCAAGUCGCUUUGCCAGCUCGAGAUUUGUCAGAGCACUAACACAGCAUUGAAGCAGCCCCUGCCACCAGGCAAGGUACAGAAGGGAGAUGGUGACCUGCAACAGGAUGAGAGACCUCACUUACCAGGAUUGGCUCACAGUUAUGCUUCUGGCAACUGACAUUUCCAUUUUGCUCAAAACUUCAACAUCGUGUCAUCAGACAAAGCCCCAUGAGUGGUGGCAGAGCAAACUCUAGCCUUCAUUUUCAAGUUUGAAGACAAAAAAUUAUUCACAUGUCUAAAUCCCAGAACCCACUGUUCAGAGGUCACUCUUUGUUGCCCGCUGCUAUAAGCCAUUAAGGCUUCCAAAAGCUCUAAAAGAAAUGGGACAUGGUUUGGGGCAGAAAAAUCUAACUGUUUUAAAUUUGUUUAAAUUCUAUUUCAUUGUGUUAUCUGAAUUUGUCCUACCAGAGGAACCUGGAAGAUGGAAUGUUUCUGUCAUUCCUUACAAUGAAUGAUAGCUUAAAGGGACAGUCAGAGCUUGCAAGACAAAUCUUUGAUCCUCCUUAAGAUUGUUAUAAACUGAAGGAGAAUAUCGUUUAAUUCUUUAGGACUUCAGACUAUUUUUUAAGGAAAAUUAUUGAUUCAUGCAAUGAAUUUUACUGUUUUAUCACACUUCCACGUCAGUAUUUAUAUAUCCUUUUGGUUAUGAAAAUAGACAGAUGUUUAACUAUGUGUUCUAAUAUUGCACUGGACUUUGGUUUUUUUUUCCUUUCCCGUUUUAGACAUGUUUUCCUGAAUCAGACCCUUGAAUUUAAUGACAAUUACUACAUUUUCCAGAAAUUUAUUUUCAUCUUUAAGAAUCUAUGUACCAAGUGUGGAAAUGUAGAUGUUAAGGGGGAGCACAAGUAACAACUUUUUUUUUUCCAUUCACAGAGGAAACACUAAGACAUCAAGGUUAUUCAAGUAGCCUGGAAAGUUACUAUUUUUCCAAACUACAAGAAGAUCUCAGAAAUAAUAAGGAUAACAUUAAAACAAAAAUCUAGAGAAAUUGUUUCAUUUUCUUAAAAAAAUAUUGGAACUGGAAAAAAAAAAAAGUCAUUUCACAGUGAAGAAAAUCUUCAGGUAGAGUUCAGGCAGAGUUGUUAGACACAGUGUUUAGGGUUGCUUGAAAGAAUCAUUCCAGGGUCUGUUCUUUGCUGCUACUGCAGAAGUGUGUUGGGCAUUUAAUCUGUCUUAGUUGUCGUAUCUGCAAAUAGAAGAUAAUAAUGCCCACUUCUGUCUAGUGUUGUGCAGUCUCUAGAAGUUUCACAGCAAGAGAAAAGUGUUUCAUAGUGUAUGUAAAACUGCCUGUUGGACCUUUUAUUUUAAAAUAAAAGUUUCGGCUACAGAUCCUGAAAGAAUGGGUUCCCUAAGGCAUUGUAGCCAAAGUUUAGGUGGGGCGUUUUUUGGUUUUGUUAUUUUUUUUUAAAGCUGUUUAAUAGACUGAUUUUUGGCAUCAUCUCUGAAGCAUGCAGGUCUCUGGAGAUUGAUAGAAAUUAAGGUUGCUCUGAAUAAAAAAGCCUUCUUUAGAAGAUCCCAUUAUCAUCAGAAUUCUGUUAUCCUCACAAAAAUGUACUUGACAUUAGCAUGGCCCAUGUUUUGUAUUUCAACCACUAAACUUUCAGGGACAUCAUUGUCUAGCUAACAUCUUAAAUGCUAUAGCUUUCCCAUUAGAUAAGCAGGCUGAUUUCAUUAGUAUGUCUUGAAAAAACAAGGCAGAAAAAAAAAAGACUUGGAUGGUUGUGAAUGUCUUGUAGAGAAUUUUGGUGGCAGAACUCUUGCCGUAUGGUUGUACAUGCUACAGGAAAGGAAAUUAGUGGAAUUUGUAGAAAACCUAUAUAAAUGUAAAAUGCAACAAGCAAACAGUCUUUCCACAGAUUAUACUGGCAGUACUGAUCAUGUCUACUUUGACAAGAGGCAAGGUGUAUGCUCAGGAUAGUGUGUCUCCUGGCUCCUGCUCCAUGUUGCCAGCCUUUAGCCUUGCUUAAGACUGUGCUGUUGGGUCUGCCAACAGCCUGGAUUGCUUACCCUGUGUGUUUUAGAAACAGGAAAUCUAAGGGCUGUCCUAAGAUGUGUGACAUCGCCAGAUCCAAGGGCUGUCCUAGGAUGUGUGAAAGGAUGUGCCAGCAAGGUGAGUGGCUGGUUGUCACCACAAAGCUAUGCAAGGGGACUGUGAAGAAGAUUUCUCUUCUCACGUAUCCUAAGCUUGACGCAGAGUGUAGCUUUAUGCUCCUGCAACCAGUCUUGAAAUAUGUUCUGGCCUGGAGCAAGGGUCCCAGUUUAUAAGACUGGAGACAUAAAACCCAAUAAUUUGAUUCCUGUUUAAACUUUCAGCAUUUAGGGUAGGAAAGAUGAUUAACCAGUCAAAUCCAGAACUAAAAUGUUUUAUCAGAACAUCAAAAUUAGGAAUGCAAAUCAGGAAUUUUUCUUUUUAGAUUAUCAGUGAAGUGACAAUAGUGUCUGCUACCUGCAGUUUUGCCAGAGGUAGGUACCAGCUCACAGGCUGAAGAGCAUAUGUUUGAAAUGAUUGUCAUAUCACUGACACACUCUCACAAGAUGCCAACAAAGAGAUUUUGCUCUACUGCAAAACAAGAAACCUUAAUUACUAUAUGAUAAAAACAGAUGUGUUAUACUUGUUGGUAAAUUAAAGAUUAAAAUAGAGAUUAACCUUUGAUAAUAGUCUUUCAUUUGUUAUCUGUCUUUAAUUAAACUCAGAGUGAUUUAAAUAUAUAGGGGCAUCUCUUGGGCUUAUGUUUUAGUUGUGAAAAUGACUAAUUUGUGUAUGUUGUUAUUUAAAGUUACUUUAAUUGCAGUACUUGCAUAAAUUCAAGAAGCAGAAUUUCAUUCCAUCUGGUGAUUACUUAUUUAUUUUCACUAAUCAUACAGUCAAAACCCAACAAAUUAAAAAAAUAAUUACUGAAAACUUGAUUGAACAUAAUAGAAAAUAUGUAGAAAACACAAAUAAUAUGUGACUAAAUGUGUCCAUAUGGAGCCUGAAAAUUUCAACACACUUCAAAAAAUUAAUGAAGAAAACAGAUAGGGAGCUACAAAUGCAGUGAUUUCCCCAAGAAGCCUAUAUUUCCUACUAUUUCAACUGGUUUAUAUAUCAAGAGUAGACAUAUAUAAACUGCUUUUUAAGCUAUUUACUUUUUUUUUUUAAAUUUGUGUAUUAUGUGUUCUUGCUGAGAUUGAAGCUGUUUAAUUUCACUCCACUGGGAAUCUGUAGCCCAAGUUAAAUCCUCAGGAGACCUAGUAUGUAUGUUAAUUUAGUGAUCAAAAAAUGUUUCCAGUUGGUCAUAUUAGGUCCAGCAGUAAAACAUUUUCAGACUUAAGGAGAUACAUGACUCACCUAAGGAAGAGGUAUGUUAAACCAUUUACAGGCUGGUCACUUUCCAAAUCAUGAGUCCUAUCAUUCUGAGACCUUUAAAAUCCACUAAGGUGACUAGCAGAGAAUUACUCAGGAGCCACUCUAAAUCAACAGCAAGCCUACAAAUGUACCCCUCUGUAGUGUGAAAUGACCACUUUGUCUCCUGUCCUAUACAUGGAAGCCAUUUUGUAGUCUUAAUAAUUUGGUUUACCUCUAAUACACUAAAAUUCAGAGGGAUUUAUACUGGUACAAUAUGUGAGAUUACAUCAGAAAAAAGUGGCUUUGCUGCAUGGUUAUGGACACUCAGACUAUGUAAACAACAGGUUGCAAAACUAUUCUUUUAAAACUUCAGUGGUAUGUGAAUGUGCACAUGUGCACAGCAGAUCACGAGUUAUUGCAGUAGAGGCAGUCUCUGCUUCUGUUAUAUAUUUUCCCAACUGAUAUGCUCUUUUUAUUUUUUUUUUUGAAGUUGUCAUAUGGUAUAACACUUUUACUAGUUGACUCCUCCCACUUUUCUUCAAACCACAUCCUGAUUUUUGGCCUCAGAAACCAAACAUAUGCACAACUUGCAGAACAACACAUGAUAUUGUUUCUGUAUAACAUCAUACCAGCUGGGAUAUAAAUUCUUACAGACAAUUUUAUGUGAAUGAAAAAUACCUACAUAAAGACAUUUUCCAUAGUUAUGCAAUACAUAUCACAGUAGAGCAUAUGGUCUUGAACCAGAGAUCUUCACAUAGAAUUAUAACAAAAGCCCCAAAUCAGGCCACAGAUCUUCAGACAAUGUAAUUUUGAAGAGAUCAUUCUAAUUUCUCACUAUUUUAUUUCUUCCUUUUUCUAUUCUCUUUUGGAUUUCUGAAAUCCAACCUCAGCUAGUUUGUGGGUAUGUUGAAGACCCUUAAAUUUUAUCAAUUUCAUUUAUUUGGUGUCAAGUCCAAUAAAAUUGUUAUUUAACUAAGGAAAAGAUAAUUUAUGGUGAAAUUUUAACUGGUACCAUGAUUUGAAAAUAUGCCAAUAGGCAGAAUUCAUUGUUUUUAGGGAAUUUAUUUCAACAUUCAUUUUCAUUAGUAGAAAAGUGUUUUAUUCUUGAUUUUUCAGUGUUCAACUUCCAGAAUGUUGGGGGUUUUUUUAAUUUUGGGGGAUGGUUGUUACAUUAUUCUCCCUUCAGAAUAAAGAGUCUGCAUAUGAAGGUUUUCUCCCGUGAUCUAUAAACUUUAAUCAACUAAUGCUCAGCCCUCCUUUUUGAGGAGAGAUCGAGUUUAUCUUUUCACAGCAAAUAAUUUUCUUCUGCUCUCAAAUUAAUUUUAAAUGCAAUUUUGUGAACUCUCCAUUUUUUUCCCACCAUUCUCAUUAAAAUAUGGACAACAGAUCUGUGGGAAUUAUUCCAACCGUUGCAUCAGGAUUCAAGGAUUACGUUAGCUCUGUUCAUGCAACUUCACAGUGGGAACUCAUGUUGGUCCACUACAGCCCAUAAACCCUUGCAGAGUCAAGGCAUUCCAAAUCACUGUACCCCCUUUUUUUGGGGGUGAAUUCCAUUUGUAUUAUGUUUAACUGUGCAUUCAUCUCUUCUAAAAUGCUCAUUUUUGCAUUGGGUCUAGCUUGUAAAGAGAUCUCCUCUUCUUUGGUCUCAUAAUUAUGUACUAACCAAGUAAUCUUUCUAUCAUCUUCAGAUCCUUAGCAUGGCAAUUUGCAUUUGCACCUCUGGAUCGCUGCUGGGAAUACUGACUACCAUUGGGCCUAGUACUGAUGCCUGCUAGAUACCAUUAGAAACAAUUCAAUAUUAAAUUUCUUUUAAUAUAUCUUUUGGUGAUCUGCUGGCCAGCUCUUAGUUGAAAUUGUGUACAUUGAUGCUAUGUAGCAGAUCUUUUAUUUUCUUAAUAAAGUUAUCAUGCAGUAUUUACAAA